AGGGAAUUUUCCGCAAUGGGCGAAAGCCUGACGGAGCAACGCCGCGUGAGUGAGGACGGCCUUCGGGUUGUAAAACUCUGUUCUUGAGGAAGAAUUCCUUCCAGGCGAACAGCCUGGAAGGUUGACGGUACUCAAGGAGAAAGCCCCGGCUAACUACGUGCCAGCAGCCGCGGUAAUACGUAGGGGGCGAGCGUUAUCCGGAAUUAUUGGGCGUAAAGCGCGCGCAGGCGGCUGAUUAAGUCAGGUGUGAAAGGCUGCGGCUCAACCGCAGAGCGGCACCUGAAACUGGUAAGCUUGAGUGCAGGAGAGGGGAGCGGAAUUCCCGGUGUAGCGGUGGAAUGCGUAGAGAUCGGGAGGAACACCAGUGGCGAAGGCGGCUCUCUGGCCUGUAACUGACGCUGAGGCGCGAAAGCGUGGGGAGCAAAC
rnacentral:rRNA from 1 species